rnacentral:rRNA from 1 species
CACGUAGGGCGCGAGCGUUGUCCGGAAUUAUUGGGCGUAAAGAGCUCGUAGGCGGCCUGUUGCGUCCGCUGUGAAAGCCCCGGGGGCUUAACCCCGGGUCGGCAGUGGAUACGGGGCAGGCUAGAGGUAGGUAGGGGAGAAUGGAAUUCCCGGUGUAGCGGUGAAAUGCGCAGAUAUCGGGAGGAACACCGGUGGCGAAGGCGGUUCUCUGGGCCUUACCUGACGCUGAGGAGCGAAAGCGUGGGGAGCGAACAGG